AGAUCGGUAGUGCAAUCGGCAGCACAUUAGACCGGAAAUCAACAAGUUAUAGGUUCGAAUCUUAUCUGAGGUU
rnacentral:tRNA from 1 species